rnacentral:rRNA from 1 species
UCUAACGUGGACCCGUAAUCCGGGUUGCGGACAGUGUCUGGUGGGUAGUUUGACUGGGGCGGUCUCCUCCUAAAGAGUAACGGAGGAGCACGAAGGUUGGCUAAUCCUGGUCGGACAUCAGGAGGUUAGUGCAAUGGCAUAAGCCAGCUUGACUGCGAGCGUGACGGCGCGAGCAGGUGCGAAAGCAGGUCAUAGUGAUCCGGUGGUUCUGAAUGGAAGGGCCAUCGCUCAACGGAUAAAAGGUACUCCGGGGAUAACAGGCUGAUACCGCCCAAGAGUUCAUAUCGACGGCGGUGUUUGGCACCUCGAUGUCGGCUCAUCACAUCCUGGGGCUGAAGUAGGUCCCAAGGGUAUGGCUGUUCGCCAUUUAAAGUGGUACGCGAGCUGGGUUUAGAACGUCGUGAGACAGUUCGGUCCCUA